rnacentral:tRNA from 1 species
GUCCAGGGUAGCCUAGUGGACAUGGCAUCUGCCCGGUAAGCGGAACACUGUGUGUUCGAUUCCCAUCCCUAGACA